GAGACGACAACGUUGACAAAAUGCAGCGACUUGGCCUAGUAGAAUGUGACAGGCCUCUGUUCCUUUUUCUGCUCCUCCUUGGCUGGAUGACGGAUCCAGAUAUCGGAGCUGAAGCUAUAGAGUUCAGAGGCCUUCCUAAAACAGUGCAACUGGACGAGAGUGCAGAACCAAAUUCAGUUGUGACUACCUUCUCCGUCAAUUGUACGAACUUAACCGAUGUGCCUGUGACAUCCCUGAAGAACGUCACCCCAGUUUCCUCUUUUUUCAACUUUCUAAACAUCUUAUCUGCCGGCAUCUAUCAGGUGAGACUUAGUCCCAGUGCUGCUCUAGAUGCUAGAGUGGUGAAUCUCUAUGCCUUAACAUUCACUGCAAAUUGCAGAGGAGAGACAAAAGAUGGUCAGCUCUUCGUUCAAGUUAAUGAAACACGGAGAUUAGUGUGCAAUGAAGGAUAUACUGGCAUAGGUAAGAAUGCUGCAGCUUCCUUGAUUCAGUUAGUUUUGG
rnacentral:lncRNA from 1 species